rnacentral:pre_miRNA from 1 species
UAUAAUGUUUGGACUCUUCGUCUUAUUUGAAAUUUUUUACGAUUAAUAUUUUUGUUCUUACUAGAUAAUAAAAUAUGAAUAUUACUUUAUGCGUGACUAUUUUUUUAAAAUUUUUAUAUAAAAUUUUCAAAUAAGACGAAUGGUCAAACGUUGGACACAGAAAAAC